GAUGAAGAACGUAGCGAAAUGCGAUAAGUAGUGUGAAUUGCAGAAUUCAGUGAAUCAUCGAAUCUUUGAACGCACAUUGCGCCCCUUGGUAUUCCAUGGGACAUGCCUGUUCGAGCGUCAUUUGUACCUUCAAGCUUUGCUUGGUGUUGGGUGUUUGUCUCGCCUUUGCGUGUAGACUCGCCUUAAAAUAAUUGGCAGCCGGCGUAUUGAUUUCGGAGCGCAGUACAUCUCGCGCUUUGCACUCAUAACGACAGCGUCCAAAAGUACAUUUUACACUCUUGACCUCGGAUCAGGUAGGGAUACCCGCUGAACUUAAGCAUAUCAUAAGCGGAGGA
rnacentral:misc_RNA from 1 species